UCCGUGGCGCAAUCGGCUAGCGCGUUCGGCUGUUAACCGAAAGGUUGUUGGGUUUGACCCACCGGCGAAA
rnacentral:tRNA from 1 species